rnacentral:rRNA from 1 species
GCCAGACUCCUACGGGAGGCAGCAGUGGGGAAUAUUGCACAAUGGGGGAAACCCUGAUGCAGCGACGCCGCGUGAGCGAUGAAGUAUUUCGGUAUGUAAAGCUCUAUCAGCAGGGAAGAAAAUGACGGUACCUGACUAAGAAGCCCCGGCUAACUACGUGCCAGCAGCCGCGGUAAUACGUAGGGGGCAAGCGUUAUCCGGAUUUACUGGGUGUAAAGGGAGCGUAGACGGCUGUGCAAGCCAGAUGUGAAAGCCCGGGGCCCGACCCCGGGACUGCUCUUGGAACUGCGUGGCUGGAGUGCAGGAGGGGCAGGCGGAAUUCCUGGUGUAGCGGUGAAAUGCGUAGAUAUCAGGAGGAACACCGGUGGCGAAGGCGGCCUGCUGGACUGCAACUGACGUUGAGGCCCGAAAGCGUGGGGAGCAAACAGGAUUAGAUACCCUCGUAC